rnacentral:rRNA from 1 species
UGUAAACUGCUUUGCAGGGGAAUAACCCCGGUACGUGUACCGGGUUGAAUGUACUCUGAGAAUAAGGAUCGGCUAACUCCGUGCCAGCAGCCGCGGUAAUACGGAGGAUCCGAGCGUUAUCCGGGAUUUAUUGGGUUUAAAGGGUGCGUAGGCGGCCUUGUAAGUCAGGGGUGAAAGACGGUAGCUUAACUAUCGCAGUGCCUUUGAUACUGCAGGGCUUGAAUAUACUUGAGGUAGGCGGAAUGUGACAAGUAGCGGUGAAAUGCAUAGAUAUGUCACAGAACACCAAUUGCGAAGGCAGCUUACUAAGGUAUGAUUGACGCUGAGGCACGAAAGCGUGGGGAUCAAACAGGAUUAGAUACCCUGGUAGUCCACGCCCUAAACGAUGAACACUCGAUGUUGGCGAUAUACGGUCAGCGUCAAAGCGAAAGCGUUAAGUGUUCCACCUGGGGAGUACGCCCGCAAGGGUGAAACUCAAAGGAAUUGACGGGGGCCCGCACAAGCGGAGGAGCAUGUGGUUUAAUUCGAUGAUACGCGAGGAACCUUACCCGGGCUUGAAAGUUAGUGAAUGAGACAGAGACGUCUCAGUUCUUCGGAACACGAAACUAGGUGCUGCAUGGCUGUCGUCAGCUCGUGCCGUGAGGUGUUGGGUUAAGUCCCGCAACGAGCGCAACCCCUAUGUUUAGUUGCCAGCACGUUAAGGUGGGGACUCUAAACAGACUGCCUACGCAAGUAGAGAGGAAGGAGGGGACGACGUCAAGUCAUCAUGGCCCUUACGUCCGGGGCUACACACGUGCUACAAUGGCCGGUACAGAGGGCAGCUACCUGGCAACAGGAUGCCAAUCUCAAAAAGCCGGUCACAGUUCGGAUCGGGGUCUGCAACUCGACCCCGUGAAGUUGGAUUCGCUAGUAAUCGCAGAUCAGCAAUGCUGCGGUGAAUACGUUCCCGGGCCUUGUACACACCGCCCGUCAAGCCAUGGAAGCUGGAAGUGCCUGAAGUGCGUAACCGUAAGGAGCGUCCUAGGGUAAAA